rnacentral:lncRNA from 1 species
GAUGUAGAGAAAGAUGACUCCCAAACUCAAAUUGCUAAUCAAAAUUCUCCAAUUGGUAGUUGUCCAAGUAGAGGUUCUGACACAAAAUCUGAAGGAAAAUUUUUUGAUUUGAUCGGAUCGUCAGGGAGUGAUUUGAAAUUUUUUUUAUUCUAAGGAUUAUAUAAUAAUUAUGUUUACCUUAAUUUACAGUAGAAUAGGGAUCAAAAUCUCUGAGAAAACUUAAAUCUGAUAUCUCAUGAGGUCUGAAC